rnacentral:rRNA from 1 species
UGAGGAAUAUUGGUCAAUGGGCGGAAGCCUGAACCAGCCAUCCCGCGUGAAGGAAGAAGGCCUUAUGGGUUGUAAACUUCUUUUCUGUUUGAAGAAUAAGCUUGUCGUGACAAGUGAUGCCGGUAGGACAGGAAUAAGCAUCGGCUAACUCCGUGCCAGCAGCCGCGGUAAUACGGAGGAUGCAAGCGUUAUCCGGAUUUAUUGGGUUUAAAGGGUGCGCAGGUGGUUUAAUAAGUCAGUGGUGAAAGUCUGCCGCUUAACGGUAGG